GACGAAUGCUGGCGGCGUGCUUAACACAUGCAAGUCGAACGGAAAGGCCCUGCUUGCAGGGUACUCGAGUGGCGAACGGGUGAGUAACACGUGGGUGAUCUGCCCUGCACUUCGGGAUAAGCCUGGGAAACUGGGUCUAAUACCGGAUAGGAGCCAUUUUUAGUGUGAUGGUUGGAGAGUUUUUUCGGUGUAGGAUGAGCUCGCGGCCUAUCAGCUUGUUGGUGGGGUAAUGGCCUACCAAGGCGGCGACGGGUAGCCGGCCUGAGAGGGUGGACGGCCACAUUGGGACUGAGAUACGGCCCAGACUCCUACGGGAGGCAGCAGUGGGGAAUAUUGCACAAUGGGCGCAAGCCUGAUGCAGCGACGCCGCGUGGGGGAUGACGGCCUUCGGGUUGUAAACUCCUUUCGCUAGGGACGAAGCUUUUUGUGACGGUACCUAGAUAAGAAGCACCGGCUAACUACGUG
rnacentral:rRNA from 1 species